rnacentral:rRNA from 1 species
AGCUUUUGAGCUAAAUAUAUUAUAAUUUUAGUUAUUUAUAUAAAGUGUUGUAUAACUUUAUUAAAAAAUAUAUUUAGGGGUGAUAGGCUAUUCAAAAACUAAGAUAUCUUGAAUCUAAUUAAAAGUAUCUAGUACAUUUUACACGACUAUUAAGUGUUUAGGCUUAAUAGAAAUAUUAACCUUUUUUAAUGAAUUUCUUUUUAUAAUUUAAUAACUAAAUUUUUAAACUAAUUAAUAUACAAUUAUUUAAAUUUUAUAUUAAGUAAUUAGAUAAUUUUAAGUUUAAUUAUAUUUGCAAUAAUGUUAAUAUUAGUAUAUAUUUUUAUAUUUAUAUAAUGAACUCGGCAAAAAUGUAUUUCUCAACUGUUUAUCAAAAACAUAACUAUGUGCAAUAAUACAUAGCAAUUUCUGCUCAAUGAUUUUAUUAAAUAGCCGCAGUAUUCUGACUGUGCAAAGGUAGCAUAAUCAAUUGACUUAUAAUUGAAGUCUAGAAUGAAUGAAAAUAAUGGGAAGCUACUAUAUAUUGUAAAUAUAUAUAAUUUAUUUAUGAAGUGAAAAUACUUCUAUAGACAUAAUAGACGAGAAGACCCUAGAAAUUUUUAGUAAUUAAAAUUUAUAUUUGAGAAAUUUUUUGUUGGGGCGACAAAGUAGCAAAUUAACCUACUUAAAUUAACUUGCACUUUUUUUUUUGUUUGAAUAAAUUACUCUAGGGAUAACAGCAUAAUAUUUUUAAAGUUUAUGACCUCGAUGUUGGAUUAGGAAAUAAUAACUUAAAAGGUUUUUUAUAUAGCUCUGUUCGAGCAAAAAACUCCUACAUGAUC